rnacentral:misc_RNA from 1 species
AGCUUUAUUUGUACAUGUACCAAAAGCUCUGCCAUUCACAUUUAUUUUCAGAUCAUACACACUUCACAUCAAAUCGUUAGAAACGUAAUUAUAUAAACCAUGCAGUGAAGAAGCAUAACUCUAGAGAUAAAUGUCAUUCAGGAACGCUAGAUAAUAUAGAUUAAUUCAAUUCACUUAAUAAGCCUAACUAUUCAUAUAACUUCUGCAGAUACAAAUAACAAGCAAAUACAAGAUGAUAAAUAAAAUGUGAAUACCCGAUAUGUAUGGAUAACGUUGUGUUAGGAGACGGACGCUAUAUGAUAUUACGAAGAAUAAGACACAUUAAGAAUUUAAAAAACCGUUAAAAAAUGUUAAACAUAUUUUUUCAUAUGUUUAUAACAUAUCGGUUAGAUAUGGCCGAGAGGGUUAUUGUUAUUAUUGGUGCAUGAUGUAUUCUAUAUGUUUGCUGAAUAAAUAUUUUGCUGAUAU